rnacentral:rRNA from 1 species
AUGGAGCAGCAGAAGGAGGAGGGGCACGCGGCGGCGGUGACCAAGAGGCGCAUGGCGCAGCCGACCAAGAAGGCCGGGAACAUGGCCACCGGCGACAAGGAGCCCGAGUUCCUCGACGAGCCGUCCUCGCCGACGAGGCCCGCUACAGGGAUGGAUGAGAGGAUCUGA